CAUGGGUCAAGUUCAAUACAAGCAAACACACACAGACACAAGCGCAAAAUUAUUAGAACCACUAAUAAUUAAUGUGCAUGUGCAUGCAAAUGUAUUAUACCAUGAACCAAAUGUUAAAAAAAAGUGACGCUUCUUUUUCACUGAUUUGUUGAGAUAUCGAUAGAAUUAAGGAACCGAAUGGAUUAUUUAUUCGAUUAUAUCGAAAGUGUGACCAGACACACAAGACAAGCAAUGGCUUAAUUAUUGAUUUAGUUAUAGAAUGGAACUACAAUUGUUUUUUAUUCGUAUAAAUGUAAAUCUAACUUUAUUCUUUCUCCAAAAUGGCUUACAAAUUUACAUAUAUGGCAAAUAUAAUUUUAAUUAUCCGGCAGUAGCUGAAGAUCCGCUGGGAAUUUUUUUUGCAAGAAGAUUACAGAGGCUGUUCGAAUCAAUCCGAAUAUCCACCUGUUAGCCAAUGGAGCUACGAUGCCUCUUAUUCGUAUAUUUAUAAAACUUUUUCCUUUUUCCAAAAUGGGUUAAAGAUUGAUAUUGAACAUGGUUCUUUCAUUUUCAAGGAAGAACUGACGAGGACCCUGAAGAGAGUC